UUUUUUUUUUUUUUUUUUUUUUUCUGUUGGUUUGUGUUGUUGUGUUUUGUUGAGAGGGGCUUGGUGAAAAAAAGAGAAGAGAGGCUGGUGAGGC
rnacentral:ribozyme from 14 species